rnacentral:rRNA from 1 species
GACGAACGCUGGCGGCGUGCUUAACACAUGCAAGUCGAACGGUGAACCUCUUCGGAGGGGAUCAGUGGCGAACGGGUGAGUAACACGUGGGCAACCUGCCCCCGGCUCUGGGAUAACUCCAAGAAAUUGGGGCUAAUACCGGAUGUUCACCGCUUCCCGCAUGGGUGGUGGUGGAAACGGUUUCCGGCUGGGGAUGGGCCCGCGGCCUAUCAGCUUGUUGGUGGGGUAGUGGCCUACCAAGGCGACGACGGGUAGCCGGCCUGAGAGGGUAACCGGCCACACUGGGACUGAGACACGGCCCAGACUCCUACGGGAGGCAGCAGUGGGGAAUAUUGCGCAAUGGGCGGAAGCCUGACGCAGCGACGCCGCGUGGGGGAUGACGGCCUUCGGGUUGUAAACCUCUUUCAGCAGGGACGAAGCGCAAGUGACGGUACCUGCAGAAGAAGCACCGGCCAACUACGUG